GUCAUUACUAAAAAUUAAACACUAAUUUAAUUCAUAGUUUUAUUUUUCUAUAGGUUAAGCACCUUUUCGUAAAUAUGGCUGUUUCCCAGUUUUAUUUAUUUUUUUGUUUUUUUAUUUUUUUUUUUUUUUUUUGUUUUUUUUUUAGGAUUUACAUUUAAAAAAAUGAGCCUACUUCAAACAUUUUAAGCAGCUUGAACAAAACCUGUUAAUAUUUAUUAUAGACCACUGUAACUGUCUAUUAUCUAAAAAAAACAAAUUUAUUAUGAAAAUAAAAGUGUGUACACCAGUUAAACUGGACGAUAAAGAAAUUGCUAACAAUAGUUUAAUAGAGCAUGUUUUAGGUUUAUAGGUGUUUAGAUGCAGAAAUUUAAUUUAAUUAAAUAUAGAUUAAUUCUUGUUAGAGCAAAAAAAAAAAAAAAUAAUAAUAAUAAUAAAUACAUGAAUACAUACAAAAAAAGCAGCCAAGACGAAUGAUUUUCUGUUUUUAUAGAUUAAAAUUAAAGACAGAAAGCAGCUGGUAAAUGCAGUCACUUUAAUAUUCAAAUCCAGUAUCAUGAUACACUUCAGAUUUAUUUCUCAACUGUUUAUGUUCACGUGACUGUUUUCGUUUAUAUUCGCCAAGCUAUUAUGUAUUUUGAAAUAACCUUGUUCUUGAUUUGUUCGUUCUUGCCAGAAUCAGCGUCCUCUGGAGCUCGAGAGAUCGAUGUUAUUCUGCCCUUAGACAGUCUCGCGCUGUCAAAUAGUCUUUC
ensembl:lncRNA